rnacentral:lncRNA from 1 species
CGUCAUUGGUACCUACAAAUGGAGAAAGAUCAAUUACAUUAAAAGUGUCAUGUACUCCAUAUUCAAGAGGUAGGUCCAAUUUAUAAGCAUUGUUGUUGACUCGCUUGAGAACUUGGAAAGGUCCAUCACCUCGGGGACUUAGUUUGGACUUCCUUUGAGUUGGAAAUCUAUCUUUGCGAAGGUGAAGCCAAACUAAGUCUCCUUCCUCAAAA